rnacentral:rRNA from 2 species
UGGGGAAUCUUGCACAAUGGGCGAAAGCCUGAUGCAGCGACGCCGCGUGCGGGAUGAAGGCCUUCGGGUUGUAAACCGCUUUCAGUGGGGACGAGGCCGCGAGGUGACGGUACCCACAGAAGAAGCCCCGGCUAACUACGUGCCAGCAGCCGCGGUAAUACGCAGGGGGCAAGCGUUAUCCGGAUUCAUUGGGCGUAAAGCGCUCGUCGGCGGUCCGUUAGGUCGGGAGUUAAAUCCGGGGGCGCAACCCCCGCCCGCUCCCGAUACCGGCGGACUUGAGUUUGGUAGGGGAAAGUGGAAUUCCCAGUGUAGCGGUGGAAUGCGCAGAUAUUGGGAAGAACACCAGUGGCGAAGGCGGCUUUCUGGGCCACAACUGACGCUGAGGAGCGAAAGCUAGGGGAGCGAACAGG